CAGAAAGGUCUAAAUGGAUGAAAUGGCCUCCGGUUUUCAGGUGGACAUGAGUAUCCAUCCUUUCACACCUUGAGAGUAUCUUUCUAAUAAUCGGGUCAUUUUGAAAGUAAUCUCUCCGAUACCCAGGUCAUAUUGAGUAAUCUCUCCGAUAAUCGAGUCAUUUUUAGAGUAAUAUCUCCGAUAGUUAGACCACAUUGAGAGUAAUCUUUCUGAUAGUCGGGCUAUUUUAAGAGUAAUCUCUCUGAUUGUCGGGUCAAUUUGAGAGUGAUCUCUCGAUAGUCAUGUCAUUUUGAGAGCAAUAUCUCCGAUUGUAGGGUCACAUUGAGAGUAAUCUCUCUGAUAGUCAUACCAUGUUGAGAGUAAUCUCUUCGAUAUCCGGGCCACACUGAGAGUAAUCUCUCUAAUAGCUGGACCGUUUUGAAAGUAAUCUCUUCGAUAGUCGAGCCACAUUAAGAGUAAUCUCUCCGAUAGUCGGGUCGAAAUGGGUACUCAUCCCUUCAUACCCUAAGAUUAUUUUCUUCAUGCAUGAAUAAUCGUUAAAAAAGAACAUAUCCUUCUCAUUUGGCCUAAAAAAAGGACCAAAAAAGGAAGAAGAAAAAAAAAGUUACCACUCAAAGAUGAGUUCCAACAAGUUUGCG
rnacentral:lncRNA from 1 species